rnacentral:rRNA from 1 species
AUGAGUGACACAAACUGCCCAAUAAUGUGCUGGAAUGUGCGGGGUUUGAACUCGCCGGCACGGCGGGAAGUAGUUUUGGAAACGGCAGAAACGCAUCGGCUCGCCAUCCUCUGCCUUCAGGAAACGAAGAUCGACGAAUGGACCAGGGCACUAGUUAGGGAAACUGGAGGAUCGCGGCUUGCCGACUGCAUCGUCCUCCCUGCCGUGGGCACGAGGGGCGGUGUUGCUAUCUUCUGGGAUAGGAAUCGGGUAGAUGUGGUUUCGCAGGCCGUUGGCUGCUUCUCCAUCACAGCCAGGAUCACCAUCAUCGCCAGCGCUGCUACAUUCUGGCUCACGACAAUAUACGGCCCAGUCGAUGAGGGUAGAAAGGACGUGUUUCUGGCAGUGUUGGCACGGGCGGCUCCGCCCCCAGACGCCCCUGGCUCAUCAACGGCGACUUCAACCUGA